GACGAACGCUGGCGGCGUGCUUAACACAUGCAAGUCGAACGGAAAGGCGCUGCGUUUGUGGGGUGCACGUGUGGCGAACGGGUGAGUAACACGUGAGUAACCUGCCCUUGACUUUGUGAUAACUUCAGGAAACUGGGGCGCAAACACGGUAGGAGCUCCUGAUGCAUGUUGGGGGUUGGAAAGUUACGGCGGUUUGGGCUGGAAUGGAGGGUUAUCAGCUUGUUUGUGGGGUAGUGGCUUACCAAGGCUUUGACGGGUAGCCGGCCUGAGAGGGUGAACGGCGACAUUGGGACUGAGAGACGGCCCAGACUGCUACCGGAGGCAGCAGUGGGAAAUAUUGCACAACGGGCGGAAGCCUGAUGCAGCAACGCCGCGUGCGGGAUGAUGGCCUUCUGGUUGUAAACCGAUUUCUCCGGUGAUGAAGAGGGCUUGACGGUAAUGGGUAAAGAAGCACCGGCUAACUACGUG
rnacentral:rRNA from 1 species